CCAUUCCUUGAUUGGAUUAUUUGUUCUUUCAGUGUUGAGUUUGAGGAGCACUUUAUGGAUCUUGGAAGUCAGCCCUUUGUCUGUAGUGUCAUUUGUGAAUAUCUUCUCCCAUUCUGUGGGUUUCCUCUUUGUUUUGUUGACUGUUUCCUUUGCUGUGCAGAAUCUUUUGAUCCUGAUGAAGU